UUUCUAAAUUAGAAAGACUCUAUUCUAUUUCAAUAACUUUAGUAAAUUUUUCUUAUUUUUACAUUUGAUUCACUGAAGUUUCCUUAUCUCCAUUAAUAUUGUUCUUUAGAUUAAAUUAGACCUAUUUUGUAAACUAUAUUUUUGAAGCACUUUCUAGACUAACAGUAACUUAUAUCAGUUUUUUUUUGACAGAUUUUGAACUUCUUUUUACAUUCAUUAAGGUAUUUGCUGUAUGUUGUUCAUUUUUGUAACGAUGCUUAGAUUCUUUAGAAUUGGCUUGUACCUGUUCUUAAUUUUCUGUCAUUGUUCUUCAUUUUCCGAGUUCUUGGAAUAAGAAUGAAUUUUUUUUGUUAAAGCUGCCUUGGUUUUCACUUAUAAAUAAAUUCUUUGAGUGUAUUUAGGUAUCCCUGGCUGAACGCCUUUAGUUAAUUGAAUUACAACCAGUCAGUAUAGUCAUCCUGACCGGAAAUAAGUGUUCGUCAAAUAAAUAUUUGCGCAUUACAUAAGUGCUCAUAAAGUUACAUAACUUGUAACCGUCCUGUUCAUUUGCGUAAGCGAAGAAGGCCGCACUAUCACACCUGCAUAGGACAGUUGAGUUAGAUAAUGGUUUGGAUAGGUAAAAAAACAUGACCUCCGGGGGGGGGGGGGGGGGGUCUUUUUCCUUAUAUUUAUAUAGUAAAAAAGCUUGUUAACACUCUAGAAGUCACAUGGUUUGCUUAAUCAUCAUGAAAUUUUGUCAAAAAAUUAGUUAUGUGGAUGUCUCCGACAGGUUUGAAAAUGGUCAUGAUCAAUGAAAAAACAUGGCCGCCAGGGAGUGGGGGAGUUUUCUUUAUAUGUAUAUAGUGACAACAUGUGAACGGUCUAGAAGACACAUUUUUAUCCCAAUCUUCAUGAAAUUUGGACAUAUCUUGGAAGAGUUAAAAAAUGGUUCAGAUCUGUUAAAAAAACAUGGCUGCCGAGGGGCCAUUUGUUGUUCAUUCUUCAUGAUACUUGGUUAGAACAUUUGUUCCAUUUAUAUCUUGGGCUGCAAAGAACAGGUCAUUUCUUUUUAUCUCAGGUGAGCGACUUUGGGCCUUUCAGGCACUCUUGUUUAUUUCAACUUCUCUCACAAAGAAGUUGUAUUCAACUAAUUUAUGACAAACCUAGCAUGAAUUUAUUCCAAUAUAUCUGCUUAAGUAGGGGUAGGGUGUGUAAAAUAUGUUUGUGUGUGAAAUUUAGUAUUGUAUGUUUGAACAAGGUGAGAAUUAGCACAAAGAGUUCAGAGAAUGGGCUUUUUAUACUCACAUCAA